ACUGGCCAUCAUAUACGUUUAGUGCUUGUGUAACUUGAUCCGGGCCGCUGUUAUUACGUUAGCUCGGAGCCUCUGUUCAUGGUUGACUUGCCUUACAUUUCUCUGAGCUGGAGGGUCUAAACCAUAGACAGUAAAAGAAAUGGACACCGCGACCCCAUUGAAGCUCAAUUGAGUCAAGUGAAGCCCAUUUUUAGCGUUUUUUAGCACUUCCGUUUCUGACGCGCAGACUCAAACGAAGCUUGAUGACGUCAGCAACCUGUCUGACAGAUGUAAAUCUUCUAGUAGCUGUGCGUGCAAACUGCCAUCGUUAAUCUUGCAGAGACGGCGAGCUUGAGCGGGGAGUUCUGUGGCGCGAGUGAGAAGGACUCGAGCUCGAGGCCGUGGGAAAGCAGAUUCGCGACCUGGAGGUGAGGCAGGCCCAGCUGAGAGAGCGGAGAACCGCGCUGGAAUCAUCCCGGGCUGACGCUCACAAGUCCGGGGUAAGUAUACAGCGUGCUGCUAACAGUCCCAUCACGUCUACUCCGUGUGUUUCUCUGCACAGGCCCGGUGCACCCAGGACGCGAUCUUCCCAGAUGUCCUUCACUGCGACGCCGGGACACCACGGACCCUGGGUGCAUCCACAGCGGAGGACGUGAGCCGGGUCCCGGGCGACGACUUCUCCCCCUCCUGCCUUUGACAUCUCCAUCCGGAACCGCUUCGCUGCCCUCCGCGAGACAGGACGCGACGCUGUGAUCAUCGGAGACUCCAUCGUCCGACACGUAAGUGCUACGUUAGCCGAAGGUAAAGUGCACACUCAUUGUUUGCCUGGUGCUCGUGUUCUCGAUGUUUCUGCGCAGAUACCCGCGAUCCUGAAGGUCGACGAGAGCCCCAGAGCGGUCGUGCUUCCCGCCGGGGUUAACGACACCACGCUGCGGCAGACGGAGACGCUGAAGAGGGACUUCAGCAGCCUGAUCGAGACGGUUCGCAGCAUGACGCCCGCGGCGACGAUCGUCGUGUCAGGACCACUGCCCACGUAUCGACGAGGACACGAAAGGUUCAGUAGACUUUUUGCUUUAAAUGAAUGGUUGUUGUCAUGGUGUAAAGAACAGAAACUGCUAUUUGUUAAUAACUGGAAUCUUUUCUGGGAGCGUCCUAGGCUGUUUCGCGCUGAUGGAUUACACCCCAGCAGAAUCGGAGCGGAGCUGCUCUCUGACAACAUCUCCAGGACACUUCGCUCCUUGUGACUAGAUUUACACAAGCUCCAGUCUGGAUCCAGAACACCUGAGAAGAGAUGAUGCUGACCCUCAGAGGACCCCAGAUGAUGCUAACCUUGAAUCAACAAACAGAACUAACAAUUAUUGCUACAUGUGUGACUGCAUCAUAU